UAGGGAAUUUUCGUCAAUGGGGGCAACCCUGAACGAGCAAUGCCGCGUGGGCGAAGAAGGUCUUCGGAUUGUAAAGCUCUGUUGGCCGGGGAAAAAGGAAGGAAAGAGGAAAUGCUUUUCUUUGGAUGGUACCCGGCCAGAAAGUCACGGCUAACUACGUGCC
rnacentral:rRNA from 1 species